UAACUGUCAGGCCACCUUAAGCCACAGUACGGAAGAAGCUGUGCUGCCUGUGAGCCCCGUCCAAGGACGUUAAAAGAAGAAGUCAGGCCCCAAAGCCACGGUUUGAGCAAACCGUGCUGCCUGUAGCUCCGUCGUGGGGACGUAAAACCUGGGAGGCUGCAAACUGUGGAAGCUGUACGCACGGUGUAGCAGACUAGCGGUUAGAGGAGACCCCUCCCAUGACACAACGCAGCAGCGGGGCCCGAGCACUGAGGGAAGCUGUACCUCCUUGCAAAGGACUAGAGGUUAGAGGAG
rnacentral:lncRNA from 1 species